CCCUUAGACGUUCUGGGCCGCACGCGCGCUACACUGACGAAGACAACGAGCUUUCCUUUACCGAAAGGUACGGGUAAUCUUUUGAAACUUCGUCGUGCUGGGGAUAGAUCCUUGCAAUUUUUGAUCUUAAACGAGGAAUGCCUAGUAAGCGCAAGUCAUCAACUUGCGUUGAUUACGUCCCUGCCCUUUGUACACACCGCCCGUCGCUACUACCGAUUGAAUGGUUUAGUGAGGCCUUCGGAUCCGCGACUCGUUUGUGGAGAAGUUGGACAAACUCAGUCAUUUAGAGGAAGUAAAAGUCGUAACA
rnacentral:rRNA from 1 species